rnacentral:rRNA from 1 species
UACGUAGGGUGCGAGCGUUGUCCGGAAUUAUUGGGCGUAAAGGGCUCGUAGGCGGUUUGUCGCGUCGGGAGUGAAAUCCACUGGCUUAACUGGUGGCUUGCUUUCGAUACGGGCAGACUGGAGGUAUGCAGGGGAGAACGGAAUUCCUGGUGUAGCGGUGAAAUGCGCAGAUAUCAGGAGGAACACCGGUGGCGAAGGCGGUUCUCUGGGCAUGUCCUGACGUGAGGAGCGAAAGUGUGGGGAGCGAACAGGA